CGGGAACCGAGUCGGCCCAGGGUCCCCCGGGCCCGGCAGCCUCGCUGGAGCUGUGGCUCAACAAAGCCACAGACCCAAGCAUGUCGGAACAGGAUUGGUCAGCUAUCCAGAAUUUCUGUGAGCAGGUGAACACUGACCCCAAUGGGUAAGGUAACUUCUCACACACAUAGUUGACUCUGGGGGCACCCCACACUGAGUGUAGGCCUUUGUCUCUCAAGACUGUUUUAGGGUUAAGCUCUCUAGGCAAGGAUCGGUG
rnacentral:lncRNA from 1 species